rnacentral:rRNA from 1 species
CAUGGUUGUCGUCAGCUCGUGUCGGUGAGAUGUUGGGUUAAGUCCCGCAACGAGCGCAACCCCUAUUGUUAGUUGCCAUCAUUCAGUUGGGCACUCUAGCGAGACUGCCGGUAAUAAACCGGAGGAAGGUGGGGAUGACGUCAAAUCAUCAUGCCCCUUAUGACCUGGGCUACACACGUGCUACAAUGGUUGGUACAACGAGUUGCGAGUCGGUGACGGCGAGCUAAUCUCUUAAAGCCAAUCUCAGUUCGGAUUGUAGGCUGCAACUCGCCUACAUGAAGUCGGAAUCGCUAGUAAUCGCGGAUCAGCACGCCGCGGUGAAUACGUUCCCGGGCCUU